UAGGGAAUCUUCGGCAAUGGGGGCAACCCUGACCGAGCAACGCCGCGUGAGUGAAGAAGGUUUUCGGAUCGUAAAGCUCUGUUGUAAGAGAAGAACGUGUGUGAGAGUGGAAAGUUCACACAGUGACGGUAACUUACCAGAAAGGGACGGCUAACUACGUGCCAGCAGCCGCGGUAAUACGUAGGUCCCGAGCGUUGUCCGGAUUUAUUGGGCGUAAAGCGAGCGCAGGCGGUUUAAUAAGUCUGAAGUUAAAGGCAGUGGCUUAACCAUUGUUCGCUUUGGAAACUGUUAAACUUGAGUGCAGAAGGGGAGAGUGGAAUUCCAUGUGUAGCGGUGAAAUGCGUAGAUAUAUGGAGGAACACCGGUGGCGAAAGCGGCUCUCUGGUCUGUCACUGACGCUGAGGCUCGAAAGCGUGGGGAGCAAACAGG
rnacentral:rRNA from 1 species